rnacentral:rRNA from 1 species
CAGCGCCACGAGUGGCAACCGUGUAUUUGGCCUAAAGCGUCCGUAGCCGGACUUGCAAAUUUUCUGUGAAAUUGUGCAGCCUAACUGUACAACGUGCAGAAAAGACUACAAGUCUAGGAACCGGGAGGAGUACAGAGUAUUUCUGGGGAAGCGGUAAAAUGCUAUAAUCCCAGGAGGACUACCUAUGGCGAAGGCACUGUACUAGAACGGAUUCGACGGUGAGGGACGAAAGCCAGGGGAGCGAUCCGGAUUAGAUACCCGAGUAGUCC